GCGAAUAUUGGAAAGGCGAUUGAGAGUUGUGCGAAGUGCGAAGCGCAACCGAGAAACAUUUUCUGAGACAAGUUAUUGAAAGACAUUUAUAUGGCAGACGACAAGAAAAAACUAUUCGCUAAGCCCGCGGGCAUGUUGGCUUAUUCGUACUACUACGGCUAUCUGAAUCUGGUUCUAAAAAGUGAGUUUGAAUGCGUACAAGUUUUGCUCUAA